UGAGAAGGACAAAGGGCAAAAUAGACUAGAAGAAGAGAGAGAGAAGAUGGAGGAGCGAGAAAAGAAAUGGGUGGAAGAGGAAAUAAGAAAGGGAGAGGUGAUCAUAAUGGAGAAGCAAAAGAAGAGAGAGGAAGAGAACAGAAGGGUGGAGGACGAAAGAAAGGAAGAGGCAGUGAGGUUGGAGAUGAACAGAGAGAGAAUGGAGGAAGAGAAAAAGAUGAUGGAUGCAAACAAUGACGAUAAUCUGUUAAGGAGUCAGGAGGAGGAGAGAAUGAGAGCUCUGGAAUUAGAAAAGAGGAACAGAGUGACAGACGAACACCUAACAGACAUCUGGACAGAAGCAGUGAAUUUAGAAGUGACAUACUCAGAUGAUGAGGACUGGAUAGACUCUGAACGUGAUAAUGAAAUCAAGAUCCAGACAGAUGAGAAGCAGCAGGACCUUGAGAGUGAGUUGGAGGAGAGCAUUGAUAAAGAACUGAGCCAUGGAGAGCACAGUGACAUAGAGAAUAAACUGGCAGAGAAAGAGGUUGAGAGAAGCCCAACUUCUAUGGCGGAGCAGUCUGGAAAAUCAUCAGUCCAAGAUGAAGAACACUUGCGGAGCCCUGAAGUGACAGCACAUGCAAACCCACAGUAUACUCAAUAUAUGAAGUCACCAUUGCCAGAUCUCUCAUCUCCUACAGAAAAUAUGGCAUCACAAACCCUACCUCCACGACAGGAUAAACUCACAGAUUCAGUGGAUGGGGAUCCCUUCUGUGAAAAGCAGGAAUAUUCAGAUUAUGACGGUGGGACGGAGUCUGAGAAGUUGAACAAUGAAGGUAAGAUCCAGAAAGGUGAAGAGAUCCAGACGGAGGAGGACAUUGACCACAAGUCUGAGGAGGACAGCAUAGUCGAAGAACUGAGCCAAGAUGAUCAGAGUGACAUUGACAUUGAGGCGGUACAUUUAGUGGAGGUUGAAAGCAACAUCAGCAGCUUCACCAAUAUGAGGAAACCAGCGGCAUGUGCAGCAGUCCAUGAGGACCAGUCUGGGCAACAGUCAGCAAAGCCAAAAGACAUGGCAAAGGAACAGAAGGAUGGUGAUAUGAAGGCAGACAUAUUGAGGGUGGAAGAACAAGGGAAGAGAGUUCAAGAAAACAGCCAGAAGCAUAAGACAAAACAGGAGCAAGAGACAAUGAAGUUAAAUAUGGGCAGAGAAAGAAUGGAGGAAGAGAUAAAGAUGAUGGAUGCAGAACAUGAGAACGCCAAUAUGUCAAGGAGACUGGAAGAGGAGAGUACGAGUGCUCUGGAAGAAGAAGAGGAGAGGAGGAGGAGGGUAAAGAAGGAAGUUGGGACAGAGAUGGUGAAAGGACAUCCCUCCCCUGCAGAGAAGUUAGAGUCUGAUGAUAAAGUCUUGAGGAAAGAAGGAAAGAAAGGCAGGAAUAAAGACAAGGAGAUCCUGACGGAGGACAAAGAACCUAUGAUGAAGCCCGAAAAGACAGCACAUGCAAGUUCAGAGAAUAUUCUACUGAAGUCACCUUUACAAGGAGAUCACCUCUCUCCCAUCGUGGAAAAGGUGACGUCAAAACCUUUGGCACCAUUACAAGACAUGUGCAAGCAUCAGCUAGAUGAUGGUUCUAAUGCAGCAAUGGA
ensembl:lncRNA